rnacentral:rRNA from 1 species
UACGGAGGAUGCGAGCGUUAUCCGGAUUCAUUGGGUUUAAAGGGUGCGCAGGCGGGGCAUUAAGUCAGUGGUGAAAUAAGACGGCUCAACUGUCUGGCUGCCAUUGAUACUGAUGUUCUAGAGUGUAAUUGGAGUGGGCGGAAUGUGUCAUGUAGCGGUGAAAUGCUUAGAUAUGACACAGAACACCGAUCGCGAAGGCAGCUCACUAAGUUAAUACUGACGCUCAUGCACGAAAGCGUGGGGAUCAAACAGGAUUAGAUACCCCCGUAGUCC